UGGGGUAUCGCCAAGCGGUAAGGCACCGGAUUAUGAUACCGGCAUUCCCUGGUUCGAAUCCAGGUACCCCAGCCA
rnacentral:tRNA from 1 species